AGUGAACGCUGGCGGUAGGCCUAACACAUGCAAGUCGAACGGCAGCACAGUAAGAGCUUGCUCUUACGGGUGGCGAGUGGCGGACGGGUGAGGAAUACAUCGGAAUCUACUUUUUCGUGGGGGAUAACGUAGGGAAACUUACGCUAAUACCGCAUACGACCUACGGGUGAAAGCAGGGGAUCUUCGGACCUUGCGCGAUUGAAUGAGCCGAUGUCGGAUUAGCUAGUUGGCGGGGUAAAGGCCCACCAAGGCGACGAUCCGUAGCUGGUCUGAGAGGAUGAUCAGCCACACUGGAGCUGAGACACGGUCCAGACUCCUACGGGAGGCAGCAGUGGGGAAUAUUGGACAAUGGGCGCAAGCCUGAUCCAGCCAUACCGCGUGGGCGAAGAAGGCCUUCGGGUUGUAAAGCCCUUUUGUUGGGAAAGAAAAGCAGCAGGUUAAUACCCCGCUGUUCUGACGGUACCCAAAGAAUAAGCACCGGCUAACUUCGUG
rnacentral:rRNA from 1 species